rnacentral:lncRNA from 1 species
ACAUGUCUGAUAAAUAAAAGAUCUGUAACACUAAACACUUGAGCGUUACAGUCUGACCCAUGAAGUUGCGCCCACUGAAUGCCCAGCUUGGAGCAGGUACGUCUCAGUCUGCAGUGUGUUUAGCAUCCCCUCUCUAAGCGCUUGACUGCAUGCUGGAAGCCGUUUGUUCUCUGGCAUGCUCUGAAGUUAUGGCUGGGACCUUCCCCUCAUAUCUAGUGAAUGAAUUAUACAAUGUACAUGUCUGUGAAACUUUGGGGUAGUGCCUAUAAUCAGAAAACAACUAGAACCGUUUUGUUUUCAUUCGAGUCAUUACUGCUUGCCACUACGAAAUGUGCUUGAAUUUAAUAAGUAUGUGUAUAUUGUAGAGAAGCUACCUUAACUGGGGCUCAACCUCAAUCCUAUUUUAACAAAACUGGACAGUUCUGAGGAAGGGAAAGCUCAGUAGCUAGUCAAUGACAGGUACCUUUCACAGUACCAUUCUCAGAACACCCUGAGUAAGGAGUUUGCCAGGAACUAUUCUUGCUUAGGGACCUGAAGCCAGUCUAGUGCACAGAAGUAGAGAAUCUGUUCUUGAAAGCACAUGGAAGGUGUUACUCUAGAAAUGGAGUUUGGAAGAACAAUCAGGAAUGGGUUUAUGUACCCUUAUUAUUUUACUUUCACGUUCUUAUUCAGCUCUUCUGUUUGUAUACUUUUCCUUAUUAUGGUGCUAUGUAAUUCCCACCAAGUUGUAAGUCCAGAGGCAGUGAAAUGUUCCAGUUGGGCAGUCAUAAACUAAAAGUAGUAUCGUCCCCGCAUUUUGGAGCAGCCAAGAAAUACUUUGGACAUAUGGACAUUGUCUAAUUAACGUCUUGUCUACAUACUAUAAUUGCUAAACUGUGCAUUUAAGACUUUUCAAGAGUUGGAUGAAAAUGUAAAGCCCAAGUUUAGACAUGCAUUAGAUUUUAAAUAUACAGUGUUCUUUACGGAAACAUUUUCCCUUUUUUUUUUUUAAUUGGUUGAUCUUUUAAAAGUCUAGCUUACUAGCUUACUGACUGGUUAUCAACUAAAGUAUAAUUACGAAUAUUAGAAGGGUGUCAUAAUGGAAAACUUUUAAAUGCUCAUUUUAAUAGAAGCUUGAAAAUAAAGAUGAAAAUGAGAAGAAAAUAUGCAGCCUGAAAUUUAAUGCAAGCAGAUGUAUAAUACAUUAAUUUUGAAUUGAUCAUUAAAAUUCUGCUUCUUAAAGGCAGCACUCUUGACUUGGGUGUGGUGAGAUUAGAAUCUAUUCCUGUAUUUGAUAAACAAAACAUGUGGGAAGAUUAUUUUUCAUGCCUUUUUCUCUUAUUUUUCCAAAAUGUUUUUCUACCAUAAAAUAGAAUCAGUGUGGGUUAUAUUAGCCUUAUUACUUAAGUUGAGUAAGAUUUUUUUCAUUUGUGUUUGAAAUAGUUACAGAAGAUGGGAUGAGAAAUGCAAAUUUUCCAGGACUGCUGGAUUGGGAGUUUUAUUCAGUCCUCUCUAUUAUAAUUUUUCACUAUUUAUGAAAAACAAUCUGUCACAAAUAGUGGUCAUGCAUCAAAUUGAACUUUGACAGCAAGAACGCAGUGAACAACUCCCUUCUCAAAAAGGGUCUCAACCCCAGUGUGUGUUUUUGUCCGUCAACAUUUAAAAUGCUCAUUGCAGAUAAGUAAGGCAUGCACUGUGUCCUUCAGUCACCUCUCUCAGUAACUGGUUUCUUUAUCUCUAAUGUGAAUUCAUUUCUCUUUGGAAGUGGUGGUGUUCGUUUAUGGACUGAGAACAUCUAACCCCACCGGAUAUCACAUCUUCUUAUAAGGUGUGGAUGAGGAAGGUGGUGUUUUGGUGGGUAUUUUGUCAGACUUAACCACUUUCAUUUCCGGGCAGAGUCAAAGGCAUCAUCUGCCCCCCUCCAACCCCUACCUGAUUGGGUGUUUCAGUUCCCCCCCUUCGGGGACCACCUUCUGGCAGAGAAUUCUUUGAGAUAUGCAGUAGUGCUGUAUCGACACAAGCUGCUAAUCUGCAUCUUGCUGUGUUCUGUUUGCUAAGGUUGGGGUCAUUCAUUUAACACGUACUGACAGUUUUCAGAGGCUCCGUAUAGAGUUAGUCAUGGAAUAAAGCACAUCCACCUGUUGGAAACGUUUCUCUGGAGCAAACUUCCAACAGGAAGGGCUUAGAAGGUGUAGCUUUGAGGCAUGUGAAGAGAUUGUGCCCUCACUUCCACUUGUGUUUUUGGUUAUUCAUUUAUAAUAAAAGGUUGGCAUCGAUGUGGUACAACCUACAAAUUAGUUUCAAUUCUGAGUUUUGGAUAAAGCAUUGUAAGACAAAAUCGGUACAUACCGCUCCUUUGAAAUUUGGGUAAAAAAUUAUACAACCAUAUAUAAAGUCAUUUUUAUAUUUUUUCUAUGUUGUGAAAACCAAAACUGUAAUUUUAUAAGUCUUUGAUUCAC